GCAUGUGAGAGGUUGUGCAAGAAUAUGUCAAACAGUAACAUGAUUAGAUGUGCCAGCAUCCGACACAUCUACUUUCACAAUACUUUGACUCAGUCUUUUUCUGGAAUGAGGUGCUGCCAUGCACUACUGAUUCUGAACAGAUGACUAUCACAGAAGAAGGGACUUCAAUGUAAGAUGGCUGCACAGAAGUUUUGUAAAUGUGAACGAAACUAGAGCAGAGCUGAGGCAUACUAAAGAUGCUACCACAUCCUCAGUGCCACUUUGCCCAGGACACAAAUGAAGCUCUAAAGAAAAGCAUCAGUGGACCACAUCCCUCCUGCUGCUUGCUCAUCCUCGGAUUGAUGACUAAGAAGGAGUUAUUGCAUGAAAGGUGGGGCUAAAUGGAGAAAAAUAAACAAAGAAACAAAAAAACACCCCCUGAGGAUGAAGGACAUCCUCACAUUGUUUCCUGUGUUUCAGCCACUGCCAAAAAAUGAAGUCCAUUCUUCAGGGAAAUUGAGGAAGCCACCACACCUUUUUAAGAAUUUUCUUUUUACUUGCAGAAAUGUAGGAACUUAAUGUCCUUGACCAUACCUGUUUAGUGACAGUCAUAAGGGAAGAGCACCGAAAGAGUCUUCAUUUCUUUGCACGCAGCUUCUUCCGCAAACACCUUCAAGCUUGCAUUUAUGCACCCUGAAAGAAUGAGGAAAUCUACAGUAACAGCAAUAGAGCAGCAUCAUGUUCUCUUCUACAACUUAUUAGCAUUCUGAUUAUUCCCAUUCUUUCUAAAAAUCAUGGAAAGAAUUUCCCUUACUAAUUAUGUAUCAUGCGUUUUUUCUCUACCAUCUCUCUUACUAACUCAUAUUCCUGUUGUUGCCUUUUCAUUGACCACAAAACCACAACAAAAAACAAAAUUAAAAAACCCUCCUUUCUCUCCCCACACUGAUCAUAAAUUGUUUUUUCUGCAUUAGUUACAGUUUGUCUGCAACUGUUUUCAUCCCAGUUGUGAGAGUUUGGUAAGUUUGUGCCGUUUCAAAGUCUGCUCAGGUCUAACUUUCAAAGUUAGCUCACCUGAAUUCUGCCGCUGCUUGGUAAAUUCCAAAACUUCCUCAAGCUGUCUCCUUUACUAGAGUAGGUAAAUAACCCUAAUCCUGUCUUCUCUCAGCUUUCCUUUUUCUCUUUCCACUUAGCAUUUAUUAGAGCUCCUCCAUACACUGUGAGGCUUGUGGAUCAGGGAGCAUGGCUGUUGAAAUCUCCAAAGGAAAGUCAUGGCAAAAUGUAAUAUCAAAUGUUAUGCCCUACAUACUAAGUACUGUUAAAAAUGUGUCCAUUCUUUUCAGUUCUUUCUCUGCCUGCUCAUUUUCUUAUGGCCUAUGAAUAACUUAAGUAUUUUAACUUAUUUAUCAUAAUACUCUAUGUUUUGCAUAGACACUUUGUAAAAAUGUGAUUUGUGCUUAUGAAGUUCCUUUAAAACCUUAAGAUAAAAGGUUACAAUGACUUCCAAGGUAUUACCAUCAAAUUAUUGUUAACUACACUUUGUGCAAAUACUCUGAGGUCUUAAGAGAUCACUUCAAAUUAAGAGAAACUUAAUUACUUAUUACUGUCUUCAUUUGCUGCCCUGAGAUACCAGUAGGCAGGAAUAAGUUCAUAAUUGGUCCUUGUGGCUAAGACAGCAGCUGGUGGCUUUUCAGCAGGUACUGUCCAUAUUUGCAUCUCCAAUUUCCCUAUUAAACUCCCUAUUUUUAUUGAGAAGGUUGGGGCACUCAGAAAGCAAACUUCACAAAGUCCUCCUGGAGGGGUCUGUGAUUGUCUAUGAAUAAUCCAGCAUGACUGUGCACAUUGGCUAACAUCAUAUUUCUGCACCCCACUGUGUAUCCUCUGAAGGAAUACCAGACCAGCAAAAAUCUUAUUUUCCCAAAAAGCAAUUCAUUUGAAGGUUUUUGCAACAAUCAUAUGCUGUACAAAAGAAGGCCAAAACUCCUGAUCAUAUGAACUGUGCUCCAAAAAUCUUCCUAUGACUAGCAGCCCCAUUCCAUGGAUGCUGAGGACAGAGGGAAGUUCUUUGUAGAGUGGGACCUCCUACCCAGAACUACUGCUGUCAGGCUAAGGCAGGGUCCCACAGGUCCUGGCAGCAGCCUGCCCUGACCUCGUUACACCAGUGCAGCCAGCUGGUUACACAGCACAGCUUGGGGACAGCCUGAGGAGUUGAAUGCUGAGCAUUCCAAGCAAUACUAGCCUGCUUAUUUCAGUCUGCAUUUGGAUGACUUUUUUUCUUUAUGGAAAAGGCUAUAUUGUGACAAGAGAAACUUACCACCAAGAAAACACGUUAUUUUCUUGUCCUGCACCCCAUUAUUACCAGAUCUGCCUCCCAUUUUUGCAAGAUUUUUCCCAUGCUGCUGCCUAGACAGCUCCACGGUUGUUGUUACUACAAAUGUGUUCCCUGGGUCCGACUUCUUUUUUGCUUGUCUCCACACCGAGGUUAUUAUCACUGAAAGAUUGCACGGUCUGUAGUUUAUCCUAACUGUUGUGAAUGUAUGGGGAACUGGGAAUUUCAGAUCUAUAGGAUGAGAGACAAGCGUGCAGGGCAGCCUUCCUUCCCUGAUGACUGCUCACUCUUGCCAGUAUCCCUUGCACCUCUCAGUGUCCUGCUCCCCUCUGCAACUGCCAGGCACUGGGUGGGAAGGUGCUUGGGCAUGUGCUGCUCAUGGGGUAAAAAUUCCCAUGCCACCACUAGGGACUUGCCUCUGGAUAGUUUCUCUUCCUUAGACUUCUGUUUAUUCCGCAUUGUCAUUUAGAUACUUAUUUUAAUUAGUCAGUGGCUGUAUCUCAUGUUCCAGGGAAAGCCUGGCAUAUCUCAGUUUCCCCAUCUAUCCCUUAUGAUUUGGCUUGUAGGGAUGAAAAAGAGAUUUUAUGCAGGUUUGGGGGUUUUGUUUGGUUUCCUUUUUUUUUUUUUUUUUACUGUGAAUGGCAUCCAUCAAAAACACCUGCUACAGAUGCAAAGAGAAGUUGUUUUCUCACCAGGUGAGACACCAAAACUUGUAGAUGAGGACAAAUAGAGAAUCUAAAAAGUAAGGUGGGGAUACAGUCAAAUAGAGAAGUCCAGCACAGUAUCCACAAGGCGAUUAUAGUAUUUCUUCACUUUUGCAUUGUUUCCUUUCCCCUCUUUCAGUGGCACUCUGUCAGUAGUUAAUGGCUGGCUUAGCUGCGGCACUGAUUAUUGCCUUCCCCGUGGAGUACUGUUGCAGUAAAAACACGUAAAUGUAAAGAUGUAAAAAUAUACUGAUUUACAUGUAAACAUGUAAAAAUGUAUUGGUUACUGAACUGGUGUGGAAGGAAAGAGCCUCAAGUCCAAUGCCUUAUCUCCAGUGGUGAAGAAGGUGAAAUAUUACCUUGAAAGGAGAAAACACUCUGUGUACCUAACUGCAGAAUGUUGAGGCAAGGGUAAGACAUUGCUCUUGAACUCAAUAUUAACUUAGUACCUCGAGUGUGAGGAGCAGGAUCUCAAACAGUUUUAUCUGUUUGACUUCAUGGCUGUAUAAUCAUAAGCAUUAAAGAAUUACUGGUAUUGGUGGCUGACUUUAAAACAUUAUUCUUCCAGUGUUUCAGCUGGAAUAUUGGAGAGGAGUUUCUAUCCAGAUGUUUUUUCAAUUAUUAAAAGUGCUCAAGUGUGUUAUCGAUUACUCUUCUAAUAGAGGCAAUUUGUGACCUAUUUUUUAAGUCAAUCCCUGAUUUGUUGCCAUGUCAUGAUGCUCUUGAAAAAAUGUUACUGCUGAAAAU